UACGGAGGGGACUAGCGUUGUUCGGAAUUACUGGGCGUAAAGCGCACGUAGGCGGAUUUGUAAGUCAGGGGUGAAAUCCCGGGGCUCAACCUCGGAACUGCCUUUGAUACUGCAAAUCUCGAGUCCGGAAGAGGUGAGUGGAAUUCCUAGUGUAGAGGUGAAAUUCGUAGAUAUUCGGAGGAACACCAGUGGCGAAGGCGACUGCCUGGACGAACAUUGACGCUGAGGUGCGAAAGCGUGGGGAGCAAACAGG
rnacentral:rRNA from 1 species